GCAUAUAAUGAUUCGUACCUAUAAGCUAACAUCAGAAGUCAAAUCCAUGGUAGGAUGUGUAUGCUCAGUAGGCUCUGACUUGGUAGGUGGUGUAUGGACUGGUGGCAACUGAGAGAAAGGUGGUGGAGCAAGAGGUGUGACUUCUGCUGGUAUCGGAUCUAGAGAAGCUGAUGGAAUGUGGGUUAAUGACGACUGAGAGGAAGAUGGUGGAGCCAUGGUGCCAUAACUCUGAAGAAGCUGCUAGUACCU
rnacentral:lncRNA from 1 species